rnacentral:rRNA from 1 species
GACGAACGCUGGCGGCGUGCUUAACACAUGCAAGUCGAACGGAAAGGCCCUGCUUUUGUGGGGUGCUCGAGUGGCGAACGGGUGAGUAACACGUGAGUAACCUGCCCUUGACUUUGGGAUAACUUCAGGAAACUGGGGCUAAUACCGGAUAGGAGCUCCCGCUGCAUGGUGGGGGUUGGAAAGUUUCGGCGGUUGGGGAUGGACUCGCGGCUUAUCAGCUUGUUGGUGGGGUAGUGGCUUACCAAGGCUUUGACGGGUAGCCGGCCUGAGAGGGUGACCGGCCACAUUGGGACUGAGAUACGGCCCAGACUCCUACGGGAGGCAGCAGUGGGGAAUAUUGCACAAUGGGCGGAAGCCUGAUGCAGCAACGCCGCGUGCGGGAUGAAGGCCUUCGGGUUGUAAACCGCUUUCGCCUGUGACGAAGCGUGAGUGACGGUAAUGGGUAAAGAAGCACCGGCUAACUACGUG